UAAACCAAAACUUGCAUCAGGUUGCUGUUGAUGAGACUGCACAAGCACAAAAGUUAAUUACGUUAUCCAAGUCCAUUAUUGGAAACAAUCAUUGCUGUCAAAAAUCACGGGUUUGCUAGUACUAUUUUACAAUUUAGAAUUUGUAGCAUUUUUAAAACAUAUAAACUAAAAUCAAUAUGAUUAUUCGAGUUUGAAUAGUAAAAUCAUAUUAUUUUACCUAUUUGAACUUCUGUAAUUUAAAAUAUAGCCACUCCGUGAGAUAAAUUUUAACAACUAUCCGUGAACUUAUAUGGUUGUAACAGUAUAAUCUUUCAACUUUAAAAUGUAAUAUAAAACCCCCUCAACUUUUAAAUUUUGUACAGUA
rnacentral:misc_RNA from 1 species